rnacentral:sRNA from 1 species
GCCGGGCGUGGUGGUGCAUACCUGUAAUCCCAACAGCUGAGGAGGCUGAGACAGGAGAAUCACGAGUUCAAGGCCAGCCUCAGCAGUGGUGAGGCACUAAGCAACUCAGUGAGACCCUGUCUCUA